rnacentral:rRNA from 1 species
AUACGGAAGGUGCAAGCGUUAAUCGGAAUCACUGGGCGUAAAGCGCUCGUAGGUGGCUUUGUAAGUCAGGUGUGAAAGCCCACGGCUCAACCGUGGGAUUGCGCUUGGUGCUGCGUUGCUUGGGUUCGGGAGAGGGUAGUGGAAUUCCAGGUGUAGGAGUGAAAUCCGUAGAGAUCUGGAGGAACACCAGUGGCGAAGGCGACUACCUGGACCGAUACUGACACUGAGGAGCGAAAGCGUGGGGAGC